GCUUGCUUCUGCAGCCCACAUACUAAAAUUGGAACAAUACAGAGAAGAUUAGCAUGACUCCUGCACAAGGAUGACAUACACAUUUGUAAAGCAUUAAAAAAAAAA